UACGUAGGGCGCAAGCGUUAUCCGGAAUUAUUGGGCGUAAAGAGCUCGUAGGCGGUUUGUCGCGUCUGCCGUGAAAGUCCGGGGCUCAACUCCGGAUCUGCGGUGGGUACGGGCAGACUAGAGUGAUGUAGGGGAGACUGGAAUUCCUGGUGUAGCGGUGAAAUGCGCAGAUAUCAGGAGGAACACCGGUGGCGAAGGCGGGUCUCUGGGCCGAUACUGACGCUGAGGAGCGAAAGCCAGGGGAGCAAACGGG
rnacentral:rRNA from 1 species